AUGCUGGGCCCCCUUGCUGUCCUUUGUGUCAUCCUGUUUCCCGAUGGCCAUGCAGAGACCAGGCUGGAGCAGCCAGCAGUAGUCGUGGCGCAUGAGGGUAGCUCAGCCACCCUGCUCUGCACAGCGAACACUAAGGUCAGCUACAUCCACUGGUACAUCCACCAGGAGGGAAAGGCCCCGCAGAGGCUCCUCCGCCUGGCCAUGGACCAAUCGGAUGUCCAGUGGGAUUCGGUCGAGAAAGUGGAUAAAGUCAACGCCAUAGAGGCCAAGGAUGGUUAUAGGUGUGCUCUGUUAUUGCUGAAGCUGGAGAAACGUGACGAGGGCUUGUACUACUGCGCUGCCUGGGAAGACAGUUACCAGUACAAUUGGGACAACAAAGUGUUUGGUCCUGGCACACAGCUCAGGAUUACAGAUAGAAGCCUUGAUGCACACAUUUCUCCCAAGCCCACAAUUUUCCUUCCUUCAGUUGCUGAAAGAAGACUCCAUAAGGCUGGAACAUAUCUUUGUCUUCUUGAGGACUUUUUCCCUGAUGUUAUUAAGAUAGAUUGGAAAGAAAAGGAUGAUGAAACAAUUCUCAAAUCGCAGCAGGGAGACACCAUGAAGACUAAUGACACAUACAUGAAAUUCAGCUGGCUGACCGUGAGUGGAGCGUCAAUGGAUAAAGAACACAAAUGUAUCGUCAAACACGAGUGGAAUAAAGGAGGAGUUGAUCAAGAGAUUCUAUUUCCUUCACAGAAAAACAAGCUUGCUGCUGUAAACUCCACAAAACCUUCUGUGAGAUGUAAAGAUGACACCCUGAAGCUGCAGCUCAUGAACACCUCUGCCUACUACACCUACCUCCUACUUCUCCUCAAGAGCCUGAUCUACUCCAGCAUCAUCGCCAUCUGUCUGCUUGGGAGACCAGCAUUCUGUGGCAAUGGGAAGAGUUCCUAA